rnacentral:lncRNA from 1 species
AUUGGGGGAAAUCGGUGAAAAUUGCGGGAAAUUGGUGAAAAUUGGUGGAAAUCGGUGAAAAUUGGAGGAAAAUUGGUGAAAACUGGGGGAAAUCGGUGAAAAUUGGGGGAAAAUUGGUGAAAAUUGGGGGAAAUCGGGGAAAAUUGGGGGUUUGGGGACACCUGGGCGCACCCGUGGGCGUGUCCCCGCCCAUAUUUGGCCACACCCAUGGGCGUGUCCCCGGCCUGACCCCGCCCCUUUCCCCAGGAUGCUGCAGCCGGUGCCGAAGGCGGAGCCUCGGGCGGUUCUGCUCCUCCCCGCCCCUCGCCCCGCCCCCGGGGGCGUGGCCUCGCCGAGCCCGGCCCCCUCCGCGCCAAGCCCCGCCCUCACCGCGCCAGCCCCCCCUUUGCUGGUACAAGCGCCGCCUCUCGUCACCCUAAGCCACGCCCCCAGCGCUGGCCCCGCCCCCUUGGUGACGACGCAAGGGGCGGGGCUUAACCUGGGGCUGGGAUUGGCGCUGGCCCCGCCCAGAGCCACGCCCACUCUGCUGGCUCCGCCCCCCGGAGGGCCCGCACAUGCUCUCCCGGCUGCUUCCUUGGCCACGCCCACUCCGGCGGGAGGCCCCGCCCCCGUGGCCACGCCCACCCCGAAUAUGGGCAAAGGGGCGGGGCCGGCCCCGCCCCCUCCCGUGGGGGGCGUGGCCACCUUCGCGCUGCCCCAGCGGCUCCUGCUGGCCCCGGACAUGCAGGCCCGGCUGCCCUCGGGAGAAGUCGUCAGCCUCGGCCAACUGGCCGCCCUGGCCCAGCACCGCCCCUCCCCGCCGGGGGGCGUGGCCAAAACCUCGCCCCUCCCACCUGCUGCCGUGGCCACGCCCCCCGCGGCCUCGGCCCCGCCCCCUCUGACGCUGCAGCUCCAGGGCAGCAAAGUCACGCUUGGCCCCGCCCCCCCAUUACGUCACCUGGCCUUGGCCCGGCCCCCCGGCCGGGGGCUCGCACGUGAGUCCAAAAUUUGGGGGAAAUUCGGGGAAUUUUGGGGAAUUUGGGGAAAAAAUUGGGAAUUUUUGGGAGUUCUGAGAACUUUAGGAAAAAAA